UACGUAGGGGGCGAGCGUUGUCCGGAAUCAUUGGGCGUAAAGCGCGUGUAGGCGGCUCGAUAAGUCCGGUGUGAAACCUUGGGGCACAACCCCAAGCCUGCACUGGAUACUGCCGAGCUAGAGUCCGGGAGGGGGGAGCGGAAUUCCUAGUGUAGCGGUGAAAUGCGCAGAUAUUAGGAGGAACACCGAUGGCGAAGGCAGGUCUCUGGGCCAUAACUGACGCUGAGAAGCGAAAGCAUGGGGAGCGAACAGG
rnacentral:rRNA from 1 species